AAGUCGUAACAAGGUUUCCGUAGGUGAACCUGCGGAAGGAUCAUUAGAAUGAGUUUCCGGACCAUGUCGUAGGUGAAAGCCUACACGUGCCCAGUAAGCGUCGUAAACCUCCACCCUUGUAUAUUAUUCUUUGUUGCUUUGGUAGGCCGCGAGCUUUUCGGGCGAGGCGCUGGCUCCGGCUAGAGAGUGCCUGCCAGAGGCCCAACUCUGUAACUAGUGAUGUCUGAGUACUAUUAAUAGUAAAA
rnacentral:misc_RNA from 1 species